UGGCAAAAGGGAAGAUGUAGCCCCAA
rnacentral:piRNA from 1 species